UUGCGGGGUAGUCCAUUUGUGUUUUUGAAACAUAUAAAGCAGGAGAAGACACAUAAUAUAAUCUCCCUUCUCAUUCUGUUGCUCACCGCUGAACACUAUUCACGUGAUCCAGAAACAAGAACUCAGGAUCUCACGGGCACUCCUCAGAGCUCAGGCACUCUCGGUCGUCGGAUCAUUCUCCUGAUGCGAUUCCAGCCGUCGGAUCUCGGGCUCGGCUCACGUGAGGUGUCGGAUAUUUACCAGAUCAUUGUGAGCCAUUGGAUAAAAUUCCAAUUGCAACAGAAUGUAAAUACCGUGCCCCCACCGGGGCAUUUUGGUCAUUUUAUGUAGAGGUGUAUAAAAGGCAGCCGCUCCUGUGGAGAGAACCGAGCCGCCUCCUCCUCCAGCGCUUCCCAGCUCCUCCUCUCCCACUCUCGAUCCCCUCUCCAAACCCUAACCCUAACCACCAGCCCCCGCUCCCUGCCGCGUCGUCGCUUGUCUCCUCCUCCCCGCCCUCUCGAUGCUCAGCGGGAGGAACGCGUCUCGCCGCCGCAGCUGCUCCGCCUCUCUCGUCUCCCUCUCCUCUCCACGGUCCCCUGUCCCUCUCUCCUCUCCACGGUCCUCGGCAGAGGCAGCAUGGGCGGCCGCCGCACCACGCGAGAGAGUGCCCUAUCAGGCCACAUCGGAGAGGUCAUGGAUGUCAUGGUGAGGAUUGAGUGCUGCCGAGACGGUCGUUCGCAGCAUCGUCGCUGUCGUCCAUGGUAGGUGGCCAGGCGGAGCGCGGCGGCGCUUGACGGUUUGUGUGGAACCUCAACGGGGUGGAGGAGCAGCGAGGAGGAGGAGGAUGGGGUUCAUGCUGCGGGUGAGGCUGGCCUCCUUCGCGGCGGCGGGUGGCGGCUAGUUCCUCUACAAGGACUACAAGCUCGCCCACGACUCCACGGUCCUCUAGGUACAGUCUUCACUCUCGCACGCAUCGGCACCUGCGUGGACUGCAACUCCACCCAGGCCGCUACUGCAGGUCACCACUAUCACAGGGCAGGACAAGGUCUUUGCAGUAGCUUGGAUGGUGUCUCCGAUCUCCCGAGCGCGAUUCCAAAUUUUGUGCAGUACUUUAGCUUGUUGUAUACUUGUAGAUAUAUGUAGCAAAAGCAAGUAGGGCAUAUGAUUUUUGUAGCUUUUAUUAUGAUACAUCUUUUAAACAUGUGCUUUGUUGUACUUAUUAUUAGCAACCGUAGCAAGAAUGGUUGCCGAUCUCUGUUGGACACACUCGGAUGGCGAUUUUGAUGUUUGCAUCAGAUGUAUGUAUUUUAUUUUAGUUCUGCUUGCUCUGAUUAUAAUAGAAAAUACCAUCGCUAUCUUA